rnacentral:misc_RNA from 1 species
GUAUUUGUUUUUAAUGAAGUUUCUUUCGAAACUAGCACAUAGAUAAUUACGUAAGCAUGCUUUAAUAAAGUUAUGAUAUUAACAGUUCACGGUUCUUUGUGAUAGAGAAGAUCAAGCUUCUCUCCAACUUCAAAAAUGAUCCUUCCGCAGGUUCACCUACGGAAA